rnacentral:rRNA from 1 species
GACGAACGCUGGCGGCGUGCUUAACACAUGCAAGUCGAACGAUGAAGCCUCAGCUUGCUUUGGUGGAUUAGUGGCGAACGGGUGAGUAACACGUGAGCAACGUGCCCAGGACUCUGGAAUAACCGCGGGAAACCGUGGCUAAUACCGGAUAGGUGCCGAGGCCGCAUGGUCUUCGGUUGGAAAGUUUUUGCGGUUCUGGAUCGGCUCACGGCCUAUCAGCUUGUUGGUGGGGUAAUGGCCUACCAAGGCGACGACGGGUAGCCGGCCUGAGAGGGUGACCGGCCACACUGGGACUGAGACACGGCCCAGACUCCUACGGGAGGCAGCAGUGGGGAAUAUUGCACAAUGGGCGCAAGCCUGAUGCAGCAACGCCGCGUGGGGGAUGACGGCCUUCGGGUUGUAAACCUCUUUUAGUAGGGAAGAAGCGCAAGUGACGGUACCUGCAGAAAAAGCACCGGCUAACUACGUG